ACACACCACCACACCUCCUGUUCUCUCUGUGUUGCCAUCUGUUCGAUCAGUCUGUGUUGUAUUUCUACUGGUGUUACUGGUUCUGCUGGUGAGACGAUUUCACAAGAAACCCGAAGUAGCCAACUUCUCAUCAAUGUGUCCUGGUUUCUCAACACCUGACGCAGCUCUUGGUAAUGCGGGUGAUGCCCAAACUGAGAGUGAUUCAACUGUAAUCUACUCAACAGUGAGAACACAACCCACCAAUUACGAACAAAUAACCAUCACACCAAAGAGGACCAGAGAGCCAGACGUCGUCUACUCUACACUACCAGUCCAGCAGAAGUAGUCCACCAGUCCAACCACUGACGUCCAGGUGCUGGUCUCUGACUGGUCCCCGCAGUACCUCAAACCAGAGGACAUCCACAUGUUACA